AGUUUGUGCAAAAGCGCAGCUGAACAGCAGCAAGAGAGAAGGAGGAGGCGGAGGGAGGAGGACAGCGUCGUAAAGUUUGAGGCUGCGCUGAGGAAACGCGCCUGGAAUCAGCCCAGAUGUGUUUGGCCUCUUCUGGUGCGCAAGGCUUUCCGACCCACGGCCCCCAUUCUUCGCUACGCCGUAAACUCAAUAAUGUAAUCAGCUGCACAGAUGGCCUUCACUUCAGCAAGGUGUCGAUGCAAUCGGAGCUGCAGUAAAUCAUCCGCUGCUGACGUCAUGUCUGCAGGGGACGUCAUCUUGAGCAGAUUCUAAUACUCAACUCUCGCUUUAUGAAUGAAGUUCACACAUUUUACAGACUCACACUGACCAUUUUCUACCUCUUGUUGCUUCACCAUUAGUCUUUUUUUUUCCCAUGUGCGUGUGUGUACGUGUGUUUGGCGCUCAUCUCUAAGGGAAAUGGUGAGAAGAACUUCUGUGGACCCUUGACGCCUCUGACCCACUUAUCACUCUUUCUCUCGGUAGACAGUGGGAUGACUUUUUAGAACAUACCAUUUGCUCUUUUUGCAUUGAUUCAUCCACUGAACAAGGCUGUUGAAAAACCUCUUCGGUAUUGGUGAACUGACGUCCACGCACCCAACUGCUCCUGU